GCUCUCCCAUGUAAACAGCUUCCUUUCAAAGUCAGAGUCCGGAGCAUACAGGCACACAUUCAUAUAAAGCUAGUAUUUUCUGCUGUUCCCCAGCAGUCUUUAGACAUCAAGUAUGUACCACCCAUCCAGUGUCAGCAUUGUUUCUGUCAUAGUCUCCACCAAAUAGUGCAAUUGGGCACUGUGAUAGAUCUGUUUGUUUUGAGUAAUUAAUUAAUCUUCCCACGUUCUUUCUUCCCAUGCAGGAGGAAAGGAAUUGUUAUCAGAAGGUAGUGCCUGCCAGAACACAGGGCGCCCUCUGACAAGCAGGACCUCGGCCCCACCAAACAUCCCCACGCCCUCAGAACAGAAAACUCAAUGUUCUGUAUUCUUAAGGCUUGGAACAAGCAAAUAUUUCAUCACAAGCUGUACAUUUCUAAAUUGAUCUGUCUUGCACAACAUCACUAUGCAUUCAGGCAGUUCACUCUAAUUACCACAUUACAACAUUUUGCAUCUGCUUCUGUUAAGUCACUGAAGUUCCUAGUAUGUUUUCUUGAGUUGUUUUAUUUUUAAACAAAUUGUUUCUGUGACUGGCUGUCAACAGCUGCACUGUUCAUUUUACGCAGUUUGAAUACACUAAUUUUCUGCAGUGUGUCCUGAUACUGCAGCUCAGCUUCAAACCUGAACCCACAGAAUUCUUUUGAUGGGCUGUUGAUUAGGUUUGUGGGUCAUCCCUAAUUUCAGUUUUUCCCCCAGACUCAUAGAAUUUGCUCUUGAAUAAAAAAUAAUACAAUUUAUGCUCUGACAGAAGUAUAACAAUGGUUAGCAGAUCUUUUACAAGGUUUUCCCAGGGUGCCAAAAAGAUCUCCAACCUCAGCCAGAAGCAGGCUGGUGCGUGUGGGUGAGAUGUUUCACUCUUUGGAGUUAGCUGGUGUCACCCACUGCAUCAAGGUGGGGGUUGGUCUUUUUUUCCAGGUAACAAACAGCAGGACAAGAGCAAAUGACCUUAACUUGCACCAGGGAAGGUUUAAAUGGGAUAUUGGAAAAAAUUUCUUCACUGAAAGGGUUGUCAAGCACUGGAACAGGCUGCCCAGGGAAGUGGUGGAGUGACCAUCCCUGGAGGUAUUUACAAGAUGUGCAGAUGUGGCACUUAGGGACAUGGUUUAGUGGUGGAUUUGGCAAUGCUGAGUUAAUGGUUGGUUUCAGUGAUCUUAGAGAUCUUUUCCAACCUUAAUGAUUUUAUUGUAGAUUCCAUCCCAUUUGGAGUAAAAUAAUGAAAGUUCAAAGAAAACACAGAAUAAAAGUACAAUACUUUAAAAAGUGGUGUGUCCGGAAGGCUGCAAUGGUGCGUGUCCCUCAGGCAGAGAGGGUUAAGCCAUGGAGACUGCCACUUUAAACAAAGGCUUGAUUCAUGUCUUUUCUUCCUUGAAGGGAAUGAGAGAAAGAAACUCUUUCUCUCUAGGAUGUCCUCCAUAAACCAUGUCCAGAGUGCCAACUGCAUGAAGAAGCAGAGGGAUCCUUGGAAACCAUAUACAGAUGGACGGAACCAAUGACGAAGAAAGAGAGAGAAAGGACAGACAGCCUGUAGGUGAUGGAGCAUGUGUUCUAAAAAUCUAGACUGCCUUAAGCUAAAGCAAACAAAGCAAACUGGGGAAAGUUACAAUGGUUUAGAUUUUCUAAGUACAGUGAUUUUUAUUUUAUUUUGAAACAAUUUUCCCUUAAGGAAUGUCCUUUCAUUUUAAUUUGCAAAAGGCUGACAACUCAUCCUAUGAAAACUGUUCCCUUUUGCUGGAAAGAAUUAAUCUUUUUUUUUUUUUUUUGGCUAAUCCAAAACAUUAUUUUCCCCUCUCAUAUUCAUCACCCACCUUUCAGUAUAACUUCCUCACCAUUUCAGUCCAGUACUUGAUGGGUAUUUAGAAUAAAAUUUCUCCAAUGGACAGGUUUUCUCAUAUUUAUUCUCUUAUUAUUUUUGCCAAAUAACCUGAUCUGAUCUGACAUAGCAGUUUGUGCUUUGAGAAUAUAACUUUCUCAAGUGCUCAGAUAACAUGAAAUGGAAAUGGUGUCUAACUCAAGCUGCUCAGUGCCAAAACACAGUGGUGGAGGGAGAAUAGGCAACUCAUAGAGACCAAUCCCCUUGUGCUAGUAAGCUGUAGAUGUUCAGUUUAAAGUCUUGGUAGAGCAUGCACUCCAAGCAGCUCAAAAAGCUUCCCCAGGCCAUCAAGAAAACCUGGAGGUCUGUGGUAAAAGACCCAGCAACUUCCUGUGUUAUUUGAUGAGAACAGGAGAGAGUGAGGGCACCCUGACCAGGACAGUUGAGUCCCUGUCGGGCAGAGCAAGAGGCAGAGACUGCGAAGCGCAGAAAGAGAAGAUUUGGUUCAGACUUAGGUAAAAUGCUUUGUACCAAUAAAGACAAUUCAGCCCUGCUACAGAUUACUGGGGAGUGAGGAUCCCAUUCAGUAAACUCCUUAAGAAUAUCUGUCAAAAUGGUAUGGUUGCUUCAUCUGGAAUUGGAUGUUCUUCCAUGGUCCUGUCCAGAUUCUUCUCUGCAUUUUUUCUAUAGUUCACAAAACAUUAUUAGCUUUUUUUUCCUCUCCUGCUAUGAUUUGUCUACAGUACUUCUGAAACAAUUUUCCGCUAUUUCCUCUGAAAAAGCAUUCCCUGAAUGUUAAAACUCUAAGCCUCUAACUGGAGAAAAAAAAACAACA